CCAAGCAGUGCUCUGUGCCUUGGCUGGGGAAGACCAAGAAGCUGGCCCAGCAGGACAGAAUGGUGAUAAGCCCCAGAAAGCAGGACGAUGAGUGGCGGUGCCCUUGUCAGCACCCUGAGAAUUCUUUGGUAAUAGGGACAGCACACCCUUAAUGCUGGGGAAUUACGAGAAAAUCUACAGAACUCAAGGUGCCAGCUGUAGUACUUUGCCUGAUGGCAAGUGAAAGAGAUGGGAGCAAAAAGAGAAUCAGCAGCUGGAUUACAGCAACCAGGCAGCAGGUGCUGAGUCGGGAGCUUGAAACAAGUGUAUCAGGAUCACUAUGGCCACAGAGCAGUGCAGCAUUCAUUACUUGGCAAGAAAAUCAUGUCUGGAGCUAUGAAACGGAAGUAGAGUCAUAAAAUCCACCAGAUACAAUUUAACAGCAUUCUGGAUUAUACACCUUCUGUUAACAAAGGGAAAAGAGCAAGGAAACCCUGUCAGGAAGUGCGUCUGAAAAGGAAAGUGUGUUUCAAUGGAUCAGUUCAGCAUUUUUGUCCACCUAAUCCUGUGAAGCAGCAUGCUUUGGCUAGUUAAAGGUGACUAACCCAAUCCCAUCUGUUCACAGGAAAAGUGACUGAAGAUGAAUCCAAAGGGACUUUCAUGAUUUGAGGAUGUAAAAAUGCAGGUGGAAAUGAAAGCAAAAGGACAAAAUGUUGAGGUCGCAGCUGAAAUUAAAGGUGAAGGGCUAAUAAAAACAUCUUACCUUCCUUCUCUGUCUAAAGGAAGUUAGCCCAAGAGGAAAUUUCUGAGAAAACUGAUUAUUAAAAAUACUAUGGGUCUUUGUUAAGCUUGUUGGGUUUUAUUUUCAUUAUCACAAGAGGGGAGGGUUAGUUGGCAAAAGAUAACACUAUAGAAGUGAUAGGGUCUCCUUGCCCCCGUCAGAUGUGGGGAGAAGGAUGAAAGUCUCUGAAAGGCCGCACAUAUAUCCUAAUAGGAAAACCAGCAUCUCUGCCCUCCCAAAUGGAAUUAUCUGAGGAAAGAUUGGACGCAGGUGACUGG